rnacentral:rRNA from 1 species
UACGUAGGUGGCAAGCGUUGUCCGGAAUUAUUGGGCGUAAAGCGCGCGCAGGCGGUUCUUUAAGUCUGAUGUGAAAGCCCACGGCUCAACCGUGGAGGGUCAUUGGAAACUGGGGGACUUGAGUGCAGGAGAGAAGAGUGGAAUUCCACGUGUAGCGGUGAAAUGCGUAGAGAUGUGGAGGAACACCAGUGGCGAAGGCGGCUAUCUGGACGGUUUCUGACGCUAAGACGCGAAAGCGUGGGGAGCAAACAGG